GUACGGGAGGCAGCAGUGAGGAAUCUUGCGCAAUGGGGGCAACCCUGACGCAGCAACGCCGCGUGAGUGAUGAAGGCCUUCGGGUCGUAAAGCUCUGUCAGAUGGGACGAAAGUUCCCGGGGUGAACAAUCCCGGGGAUUGACGGUACCGUCAGAGGAAGCACCGGCUAACUCCGUGCCAGCAGCCGCGGUAAUACGGAGGGUGCAAGCGUUGUUCGGAAUCAUUGGGCGUAAAGCGCGUGUAGGCGGUCGGGCAAGUCAGAUGUGAAAGCCCUUGGCUUAACCAAGGAAGUGCAUUUGAAACUGCCCGGCUUGAGUACGGGAGGGGGAAGUGGAAUUCCCGGUGUAGAGGUGAAAUUCGUAGAUAUCGGGAGGAACACCGGUGGCGAAGGCGGCUUCCUGGACCGAUACUGACGCUGAGACGCGAAAGCGUGGGGAGCAAACAGGAUUAGAUACCCCGGU
rnacentral:rRNA from 1 species